GAUGAACGCUGGCGGCGUGCCUAAUACAUGCAAGUCGAGCGAACGGACGAGAAGCUUGCUUCUCUGAUGUUAGCGGCGGACGGGUGAGUAACACGUGGAUAACCUACCUAUAAGACUGGGAUAACUUCGGGAAACCGGAGCUAAUACCGGAUAAUCUUUUGAACCGCAUGGUUCAAAAGUGAAAGACGGUCUUGCUGUCACUUAUAGCUGGAUCCGCGCUGCAUUAGCUAGUUGGUAAGGUAACGGCUUACCAAGGCAACGAUGCGUAGCCGACCUGAGAGGGGGAUCGGCCACACUGGAACUUAGACACGGUCCAUACUCCUACGAGAGGCAGCAGUAGGGAAUCUUCCGCAAUGGGCGAAAGCCUGACGGAGCAACGCGGCGUGAGUGAUGAAGGUCUUCCGAUCGUAAAACCCUGUUAUUAGGUAAGAACAUAUGUGUAAGUAACCGUGCACAUCGUGACGGUACCUAAUCAGAAAGCCACGGCUAACUACGUG
rnacentral:rRNA from 1 species